GCUCGAUUAGUUUAAUAGAAGAAAACGCUGGCGUGCGAAGCCGGUAAUGCAGGUUUGAAUCCUGCAUCGAGCGCCA
rnacentral:tRNA from 1 species